rnacentral:snRNA from 1 species
AUCAUUUCUUGGCCUUUUGGCUAAGAUCAAGUGUAGUGUCUAUUCUGAUCGGUUUAAUAUCUAAUACGUUCUCUAUCCGAGAACAAUAUGGUCAACGGAUUUUGGAGCGGGGAGAUGGAAUAGGAGCUUGCUCCAUCCACUCCACGCAUCAACCUGGUAUCACAGCAAUUCCAGGAACGGUGCACCCCUU